UGUGGGAGCGGGCUUGCUCGCGAAGGCGGCCGGCCAGCCAGUACAUUUGUGACUGACCCGCGACCAUCGCGAGCAAGCCCGCUCCCACA
rnacentral:misc_RNA from 1 species